rnacentral:rRNA from 1 species
CCCAGACUCCUACGGGAGGCAGCAGUGGGGAAUAUUGCACAAUGGGGGAAACCCUGAUGCAGCAACGCCGCGUGAGUGAAGAAGUAUUUCGGUAUGUAAAGCUCUAUCAGCAGGGAAGAAGAAAGACGGUACCUGACUAAGAAGCCCCGACUAACUACGUGCCAGCAGCCGCGGUAAUACGUAGGGGGCAAGCGUUAUCCGGAUUUACUGGGUGUAAAGGGAGCGUAGACGGCUGUGCAAGUCUGAAGUGAAAGCCCGUGGCUCAACCGCGGAACUGCUUUGGAAACUGUAUAGCUUGAGCACUGGAGAGGCAGGCGGAAUUCCUAGUGUAGCGGUGAAAUGCGUAGAUAUUAGGAGGAACACCAGUGGCGAAGGCGGCCUGCUGGACAGAAACUGACGUUGAGGCUCGAAAGCGUGGGGAGCAAACAGGAUUAGAUACCCUGGUAACU